UGAAUGCCUGAUACUGAGACCUUGCUCCUAGCUUAUAUACAUCCCUAAUGCUGGGAUUAAAGGCGUGUGAUCCCAGGUGCUGAGAUCACCUUUGUGUGAGCUGUUUCUCUUAGGACUGCAUCGAUCUUGUGUAGAUGUGGGUAGCACUGAACUCACAGAGAUCCGUCUACCUCUUAAUCCUGAGGCCUAGGAAUAAAGGUGUGUACCACCACCUCCUAGCUUCUGGCUGCUGGGGUUAAAGGUGUGUGCCUGGCUGGCUUCUAUGGCUUGUGGCUGACUUUGCUUUCUGAAUCCUCAGGCAAGCUUUAAUAAAUCCUAAAUAUAUCAGCACAGGCAGGAGACGCUGAACUGUGUAAGAUGAAGAAUGAGAGCUGGAUACUAUCGUGCAUGCACUUGCUGCUCUCUUCUCGCUGUGGACGUGAUGUGCCCUACCGAUACAGGCUGCCUCGACUUCCGCUCCACGAUGGAGUCUAUCCUGAACUGUGAGUGAAAAUGAACCCAAAUGCUUCUUUGGAACAGUUAACCAGAAGAGGAGCUACAGAAGCAAAAAACAAGCACUUGCCUUGGGCCAUCAACAUGGCUAGCAGGUAAAAUCACUUGUUUUGCAAGCCUGAUGACCUGAAUUUGAGCCUGGAAAUCCACCUAAGACACUGGACGUAAUGAUGCACAUCUGUAAUCCUGGCUCUCCUAUGGUGAGAUGGGAGGCAGAGGCUGGAGAACCCCGGAACCUCUCAGGCCAGUUAGCUGGGGAAGCUGAACUUAUGUCUUCAAGCAAGUGCUUUCCCCAUUGAGUAUCUCCCUGCUGACCAUGAGCUUCUGACUCCUGAUGCCACCUCCUGAGUGUUGGGAUUAAAGUCAGGCCAAGCCUGGGGUAGUUCUGACUCAAGAAAACUGAGAGCCAGAAUCACACAGCGUGAAAGAAUGAGGAAAUGGCCUAUCUGUGAUUUGCUGCCUUGACCAAUACAGCCUCUUGGAGAACCACCAAGUACCUAUUUUAUAGCUGCCUGAAUCUUCACAACAUCCUGGGCGGUGGCCUUGUAACCAUCCUGGUAGGAAUGAAGACAUCAAAAGAGAUAUUUGUACCCAUUCCUUCAGCUAUCAAACUAUUGGGACAAGGACCCCAAGAAAUUAGAAUCUUCCCAGGAGUCUCAUUCUGGUGAAGGGAAAGGCCUUGGGAGCCAGACAGAGGGGAACUUCCUCCCAAAAAGAUGCCACAAAGCUCUGACAAUUUAACUUUCAAGAGAGACUGGAGCUCAGACAGUGACCUCACCUUAUCCAUGACUGCUUAACUAUUUAUACCCCUUGCUCUUUACAUAACCCUAAGCCUUGUGUCAGGAUCCUAAAGUUGGACUUGGGGGGUCACUGGACCUCUUUGUUGCUCAAUAUGUUCAUAGUGCAUCAAA